UUAACAAUCAAAGGCCAGGGACAAGCCUCAAUCAACAGAGCCUUCAAUUUUACAAGGAAAAUGGCUCGCAAUCACUAGAUGCACUAGUAGAGUAACUUAUUGCAGUUGCACUUAUGACGGAAACAGAGCAAAUUGAGUAAGAGAUUUGGAAGGAAAUAUUGACACAGCAAUUUGAUGAGUAUUAGACAGAGAACGAUAUUUAAAGAAUUGUAGUCCUAUUAUCAGAUGGAAACUGUUUGAGAUUUUAUUAUCACGUUAUAUCAUUUCUUCAAUAAAAAUGAAUGACUAAUUAUUAGACCAGGUAAACAAAAGUAUUCAUCACGACAAAAUGCAAACUGCAAAAUGCAUGGGAAAAAAAAGAAGAGAUGAAAGUCUUCGUUAAAUGUACUGGAAACAUUUGUAAUGUAAAAAAGUUGAGGGAAUGCUUAAAAUGCCACAGUAUUAUGAAAUCCUAAUGCAGCAAGUUAAGAUCGCGUGUUGAUGGAAAAACCUACAAUGAUUUUUCAUGCUCCAGUUUUGCAAAGAGCAGUGACAAAUCGAACAAAUAGCUUAUUUAACGCAGAUAUAGAGAAAAAUAAAAAAUUUAUGAAUAUUAAAUUAAUGUAUAACUUAAACAUUCUUCUAAAAUGCUAUGCUUCAUUUAUAAUGUCAUGUUAUAAUAAACAUUCUAGUUGA